UUCACUUAGAUACUUGACCCGUGUGUUUGAGGUGGGUAAAAGCUGGAGAUGAAUUAGUUUGGUUGCUAAAGAUCGUCAAAUACGCGAUAUAAGAAUUGAUCUUCACUAGGACUUAAUCGAUCUCAGUUGUUUCCUCUGUCUAGGACUCUGACUCAAUCGAUCUUCAACUUUGAUCGAUCAUUAGCUUUAGUCUGAAUCGAUCUUUGUGCCGCCUCAUAUCCGAAUCGAUCUUUACUUCAAUUCGAAUCCAUCUUUGUACUGAUCUCAGCUUCAAUCGAUCUUACCUAUUGUAACUUCAAUCCGAAUCGAUUAAGAUCUCAGCUUCAAUCCGAAUCGAUCGUUGAAGAUCUGAGUUCUUUGGCUUCAAUCGGAAGAUAUAUAUAAGUUUGAGUAAAUUGAUUUGGUUUCUAACAGAGAUCGUAGUAAUUUGGAUUCAAUAGCGAUUUGGGAACAUGUUCAAUCAUGAAAUACUUUCAUGGCCAAGAUCAGUCCAACUGUUCAUCCAAGCAAGUGAAUGAUAGAUUUGUCGCAGAGGUUGCACCAUUGUCACCCUCUGGUACUGUUCUCAUACUGUAUGCUGCUUUUUGUUUCUUUUUACUUUAGUUUUACCAUUAGUUUUGCAAUUUUGGUAAAGUAUGGCAUUCUUUCAGGAACUGCAAGAUAUUCAGAGUUGCAUACAACUAAACUGCCCAUAGAAUCCCAUGAGGAAGAAAUAAGGAUUAGGUAUGCCGAGUCUGGAUCAACAGGAAAACAAGGGAGAAGUAUCUACGAGAGAGGUUUGCAUUUAUGUUGGCUUAAAUUUAGUUUAUUGAUUAAUUGUUUUAAUGGGUACCAAUAUAUUGUUACAAGGAAGCUAAGGGAGAAGUAUCAUUUCUAGCAUUUGAAUAUCUAAUGAUUAUGACAUGGAUGGUUCCUUAUUUUAUUUAAUUGCGCCUUUUGAUCAUGUUUAUUCUACGUCCUAGGUAUAUGGCAUAUAUUAUGGACACUAAUGAAGAGGAGAGAGUUAAGGUACACCUUAUUCUGAAAGAACUAGCGAGGAAAUCACUAUCAACAACACAGGUCCUUCAAAAAUAUGUAAAGAACUAGAUAUCAAUUGUUGUACCAUUUCAGGAUAAGUGAUGACAUACCAGUUGACAAGGAUACUAGUUUGAGAUUGCAACUUGAUAUGUCAAUUUUUGAAAGUUUUUUGAAAGCAGAAUCAAACAGUUUGGAAACUUUGAAUUUUAAUUUUUGUAAAAUUUUACUUUCUAUGUAC